UACGAAGGGGGCUAGCGUUGUUCGGAAUUACUGGGCGUAAAGCGUGCGCAGGCGGCUUCUCAAGUCAGGGGUGAAAGCCCAGAGCUUAACUCUGGAAUUGCCUUUGAGACUGAGAGGCUUGAGUACGGGAGAGGUGAGUGGAAUUCCCAGUGUAGAGGUGAAAUUCGUAGAUAUUGGGAAGAACACCGGUGGCGAAGGCGGCUCUCUGGACCGACACUGACGCUGAGGCGCGAAAGCGUGGGGAGCAAACAGG
rnacentral:rRNA from 1 species